ACCAUGACAGCGGGAGGGGGGCGGCUGGGAAAGGGACCAUGACAGCGGGAGGGGGGCGGCUGGGAAGGGGACGCAGGCAGCCCGGGGGCUGAGAUGGGCACAGCGAACUGAAACUGCAUCGCAUCAGCACAACGGCAUAUGGAGAGAGUGAGAAGGCGCCUGAGAAACGUUCUUCGCAGAUCUCUUCGAAGUCAUGACCCAAUUCUUAGUGGAGCCUUGGAAGCUAGCCUCAGCGCUUGAAUUUGUGUGACUGCUCUCGUUUUUCUUCCAGACUACUUUAAGGAGGUCAAAAUAUCCUAAGACUCAUAAGAAAGUGACAGAAAUAAACAUUGUCGUCAUCUUC